UGGAAGGCCGUGUGUGAGCCUCUAGUUUCCAGGGAGUGCUGUUUCAGCCGCGCGACUUGGCGAAGAGAGGCGCGAGGUUUGCGCAGGGCCUCCCUACCACGAGAGAUCCCAUCCUUAAUCUCUCAUUUCCGUAUGGUGCCUUACGGUUCUCCAAGCCCUUCGCAGUUUACAAAGUGGACAGGAUUUCAAAGAAUUAAUACCAUUAUGUGAGGAAAUGGUCUGCCAACCUAGUUCAAAGGAAGGACACACAUGCUGCAAAGUUCAGGAGCACCCUAGAUCACCAACUGGAAGUUCCGGGAUCCCCAAGAUCACCCUCAGGUUCAAUGAUUUGUUAGAAGGACUCACAGAACUCAUUGACAGCUGUUAUAUUCACAAUUGGAGUUUAUUGCAGCAAAAGGAUACAAAUUAAAAUCAGCCAAGAGAAAAAGUAUGUAGAAUAGGAUCUGUGAGAGUUCCAAUCAUGGAGCUUCCAGUUGUCCUUUCCCAGUGGAGUGGUGCAGCCAGUGCUAACAUCCCAGCAAUGAUGUGUGAUAAUACAUACACAGUAUUGCUGACAAGGGAAGCUCACUUGAGCCUUUAUGUCCAAAGUUUUUAUUGGGACUCAGUCAUGUAGGCCUGGUUCACUGCCCAUAUGGCUGAUCUUAGUCUCCAGCCCCUCCAGAGGUCAAGCUGAUACCCCAUGGCCCAAAGUACCCUCACCAUGAACUACACUGCUAACAUAGACUAUCUGGCAUGGCCCAAGACCCCAAAGUAAACAAAGAUACUCUUAUCAGGCAGGAUAUUCCACGGGUUUAGAGAUUAACUCCCAGCAGCUUAGGGCAAAGACCAAACUUCUCUUUGAGUAAGGUUAAUCGUCUACUGCAUGUGUGUCCUAAGCUUUUUUGCUUUUUAAAUUUCUUUUCCCAUUGCUAAUCUUAAUAGACACUUAUGUCUGACUGAACAAUAAUUUGUAAGCCAUGGAAAAUAGCUAGAGUAGCAUUAUAAGAUUCAAUCCAUAGAAAACAUUUUUAUGUCUAAUUAUUAAAGUAAACAUGCCUGGAUUGGCCUUAGACAUACAUACUUGUUAAUUAUGAAAUAGAUAAUGUUGGGUUUUGGGGGGUUUUGCCUCCUAGCUGUAAUCUUUCCUAUCUCUGGUUCCUUACCACUCCUACCCUGUCUCCAUAACAUCUCCUUACACAUAUCUCCCCAAGCCAACAGAAUAUAAGAGUACCCACUGUGUUUAAGACAUUAUUCUAGGUUCUUGGUAUUCAGAAAUAACCAAGACAGACAAUAAAAACUUGUUUUCUUGAAA